rnacentral:rRNA from 1 species
AGAGUUUGAUCCUGGCUCAGAACGAACGCUGGCGGCAGGCCUAACACAUGCAAGUCGAGCGCACCUUCGGGUGAGCGGCGGACGGGUUAGUAACGCGUGGGAACAUACCCUUUUCUACGGAAUAGCCUCGGGAAACUGAGAGUAAUACCGUAUAAGCCCUUCGGGGGAAAGAUUUAUCGGGAAAGGAUUGGCCCGCGUUAGAUUAGAUAGUUGGUGGGGUAAUGGCCUACCAAGUCUACGAUCUAUAGCUGGUUUUAGAGGAUGAUCAGCAACACUGGGACUGAGACACGGCCCAGACUCCUACGGGAGGCAGCAGUGGGGAAUCUUAGACAAUGGGCGCAAGCCUGAUCUAGCCAUGCCGCGUGUGUGAUGAAGGUCUUAGGAUCGUAAAGCACUUUCGCCAGGGAUGAUAAUGACAGUACCUGGUAAAGAAACCCCGGCUAACUCCGUGCCAGCAGCCGCGGUAAUACGGAGGGGGUUAGCGUUGUUCGGAAUUACUGGGCGUAAA